rnacentral:rRNA from 1 species
UACGUAGGGGGCAAGCGUUGUCCGGAUUUAUUGGGCUUAAAGAGCGUGUAGGCGGCCAUGUAGGUCCGUUGUGAAAACUCGAGGCUCAACCUCGAGACGCCGAUGGAAACCAUGUGGCUAGAGUCCGGAAGAGGAGAGUGGAAUUCCUGGUGUAGCGGUGAAAUGCGCAGAUAUCAGGAAGAACACCCGUGGCUAAGGCGGCUCUCUAGUACGGUACUGACGCUGAGACGCGAAAGCGUGGGGAGCGAACAGG